CAAAUAAUGAAAGCAUCAAAUUCAAAACGCGAGGUUUUUGUGUAGUGUGUAUAACCAACUACGGCUGCAGAAUAUACAGAGUCUCUGGUGUUGAUGGAAAGGAUUGUUUACCUAGAGGCAGCUUGGUAUGACAUGUUGCAAAGCAUUCUGUUUGAUUAACAGAUAAUAGAUACUGCAGACACUAAGCAAAUUAUACUUACCUAGCAGUUGCAGUAUUCCAGCCAUGGAGUCAUAAUCUUAGAAUAAAGGUCUCGGUGUUUAGGUGAAUCUGAGGAAAGUCCAAAAUAUUGCAACUGUUCCAGUUGUUAAAAUUGUAAGCAAAGACGUAUGCUGGCUUUAACACAUCAACAAGACAACAAAACACUCAUUUCAUAUGCUGGCUCCAGUGAUGUUAAUUCAGCUGCAGAUACUUCUGUUCUCAAAUAUGUAUCGACAGUACCUGUGUCAGAUGUACUGGCAAACAUGUUAUAUCUUCAUUUUUGUCGAGCCCGCUUGCGGAAGCAAAGAUAGAUGUCCAAAUGGCUGUUCUGUGUAUGUGCGUGUGUGCGUCCGUCCGUCCGUCAGGAUUUGUUUGUCCGGACCAUAACUUUGAUAUGC
rnacentral:lncRNA from 1 species